GUGUGUUCCCCUCUGGAGGUUUUAAACCUUCAAUUCGCCGGGCCGUAUUCGAGCCCGGCUUUCUUUUGCCUUGA
rnacentral:misc_RNA from 1 species